GCUAUACAUGCAGUAGAACGCUGAAGAGAGGAGCUUGCUCUUCUUGGAUGAGUUGCGAACGGGUGAGUAACGCGUAGGUAACCUGCCUUGUAGCGGGGGAUAACUAUUGGAAACGAUAGCUAAUACCGCAUAACAAUGGAUGACACAUGUCAUUUAUUUGAAAGGGGCAAUUGCUCCACUACAAGAUGGACCUGCGUUGUAUUAGCUAGUAGGUGAGGUAACGGCUCACCUAGGCGACGAUACAUAGCCGACCUGAGAGGGUGAUCGGCCACACUGGGACUGAGACACGGCCCAGACUCCUACGGGAGGCAGCAGUAGGGAAUCUUCGGCAAUGGGGGCAACCCUGACCGAGCAACGCCGCGUGAGUGAAGAAGGUUUUCGGAUCGUAAAGCUCUGUUGUAAGUCAAGAACGAGUGUGAGAGUGGAAAGUUCACACUGUGACGGUAGCUUACCAGAAAGGGACGGCUACUACGUGCCAGCAGCGCGGUAAUACGUAGGUCCGAGCGNGUCCGGAUUUAUUGGGCGUAAAGCGAGCGCAGGCGGUUUGAUAAGUCUGAAGUUAAAGGCUGUGGCUCAACCAUAGUUCGCUUUGGAAACUGUCAAACUUGAGUGCAGAAGGGGAGAGUGGAAUUCCAUGUGUAGCGGUGAAAUGCGUAGAUAUAUGGAGGAACACCGGUGGCGAAAGCGGCUCUCUGGUCUGUAACUGACGCUGAGGCUCGAAAGCGUGGGGAGCGAACAGGAUUAGAUACCCUGGUAGUCCACGCCGUAAACGAUGAGUGCUAGGUGUUGGAUCCUUUCCGGGAUUCAGUGCCGCAGCUAACGCAUUAAGCACUCCGCCUGGGGAGUACGACCGCAAGGUUGAAACUCAAAGGAAUUGACGGGGGCCCGCACAAGCGGUGGAGCAUGUGGUUUAAUUCGAAGCAACGCGAAGAACCUUACCAGGUCUUGACAUCCCGAUGCUAUUUCUAGAGAUAGAAAGUUACUUCGGUACAUCGGUGACAGGUGGUGCAUGGUUGUCGUCAGCUCGUGUCGUGAGAUGUUGGGUUAAGUCCCGCAACGAGCGCAACCCCUAUUGUUAGUUGCCAUCAUUCAGUUGGGCACUCUAGCGAGACUGCCGGUAAUAAACCGGAGGAAGGUGGGGAUGACGUCAAAUCAUCAUGCCCCUUAUGACCUGGGCUACACACGUGCUACAAUGGUUGGUACAACGAGUUGCGAGUCGGUGACGGCAAGCUAAUCUCUUAAAGCCAAUCUCAGUUCGGAUUGUAGGCUGCAACUCGCCUACAUGAAGUCGGAAUCGCUAGUAAUCGCGGAUCAGCACGCCGCGGUGAAUACGUUCCCGGGCCUUGUACACACCGCCCGUCACACCACGAGAGUUUGUAACACCCGGAAAGUC
rnacentral:rRNA from 1 species